rnacentral:rRNA from 1 species
GAUCGGCUUACUGGUCGUGCUUUUGUACGUACUGGUAAAUCGGUUUCUCCUUUCUGACGAACUUUAAUGCCAUUAAUUUGGUGUUUUAGGGAAUCAGGACUGUUACUUUGAAAAAAUUAGAGUGUUCAAAGCAGGCUGUUUACAGCUUGAAUAUCUUAGCAUGGAAUAAUAGAAUAGGAC